rnacentral:lncRNA from 13 species
CACUGCAGUGGCACUCUCUUGACAAGAUAUGUUUGGCUUAGCCACUGUUGAUAUUUGUUCUUGAAAUCUCGGUUGUGUGGCAUGGUACACUCUGAGAGCAGAAAUGGAGACGCUUAGUUUAUAUGCACAGAGGACGGGCAAGAUGCAAACAGAAAGAGAUGGUCCACAGCAGGGCAGCAGGAGUGGCGGGAGCUGAGCAGCACUUAAUAUGUUGUGAUGUGUUGAAUCUAUGAAACGCCUGUUCAAUAGCUAGUCAAAGUAAAUUUAGAAGGGCACGGGAAAGGGAUUUAUUUUUUCACCACUGUAUAAAUGUUCAUUAUAUCUUAUGCUGUUGGUCAUGGUCUACCUGCGUCCUUUUGAGGUCCCAGUGCCCUUAGACUCUCAGAUAGCACCACUGAGAAGAAAUAGGUGAGGUUUGCUCAAUACACACACACAACACACACACACACAUACACACUCCCUAUGUAUUUCAAGAAUUGAAGCAUUAUGGGCACUUUGGGAUUGAGCUUUUUUUGCUGGAUUUUAAUCUCCGAAAAGAGAGAGCUCCUCGAAAGUAAAUUAUUUGAUCUUUUCUCUUUUCCUCUUGUGCAUAACCUUAUUGGAGCAUUUCUCAAAUUUGACUGAGAUCAUUUAAAUAAAUGUCUGUUUUGAUCAUCAAACACCAUUUGCAACCUAGACUGAAUCUUACCCAUUUAUGUUUCCCAAUAGAGUAACAAAGUGUCCAGCACAUAGGAAAAUCUCCUGAAAUGGUAGCUGAACAAGAAAUCCUAAUAUCCAUGAACAAUUGUAUAUGCAAGGCAGAAAACAAAAAGUACACUUCAAUGAGAUUUGACAAAUGUUUAAACAUGUAUAACCAUCACCACAAUCAAGACAUAGACAUCAACUCAAGAGGUUCCUUUGUGUCCCUGUGCAGUCAUUCUCCAUUCCCUGUGCAGUCAUUCAGCAUCACCAUUGCAGUCAAUUUCCUGUCGUGCAUUCUUUCACUCUACAUUUGUUUUGCUUGUCCUAGAAGUUUAUAAAUGAAGAAUCAUACAGAAUGUACUACUUGGUGUCAAGCUUCUUUAACUUAGCAUAAGUGAUUCGACUAUGUUGUUUUGAUAAUCAGUGGUUUGUUUCUUUUUUACAAAUAUGCCUCUUUAGUUCAUAUGAUUAACAUUUGAUUUUCAGUUUUUAGUUAUUCUAUUUUGAAUUUUUUGUGGACUCUCCAUGCUCUUUUUUAUAAUGACUGAACUAAUUUACAUUCACACUAACAGUGUGCAAGUGUUUCCCUUUCUCCCCAUCCUUGCCAAUACUUUUUAUCUUUUGAAUUUUUGAUAAUAGACAUUCUAACAGGUGUGAGGUGAUAUCUCAUUGUGGUCUAAUUGAUACUUCUCUGAUGAUUAGUGAUAUUGAACAUUGUUUCUUUUACCUGUAGGCCAUUUGCAUGUUUUUUGAAAAAUUUCUAUUCAGAAUCUUCACCUAUUUGUAUUAUUGCAAGUUGAGUUCCUUAUAUUUUUGGAUAUUACCUUCUUAUCAGAUAUAUGGUCUGAAAAUAUUUUUUCCUAUUCCAUAGGUUGUCUUUCCCACUGUUUGUUUUCUUUGCUGUAAGAAGCUCUUUAGUUUCCUGUAAUCCCAUUUGUCUAUCUUUGUUUUUGUUGCUUGUGCUUCUGGGGUCAUAUCCAAAAACGUAUUGCUUAGACCAAUGCCCAUGGAGUUUUCCCCUCCUGUUCUCUUCUAGUUGCAUUACAGUUUAAUAUUUUUCAUUUAAGUGUUCAAUCCAUUUUGAGUUGCUUUUUAUAUAUGGUGUGAGAUAAGGAUCUAAUUUUAUCCGACUGUAUACAGAUAUCCAGUUUUCUCAAUACCAUAUGAUCCAGUAAUCUCACUACUGGAUAUAUAGCCUAAGGAAAUGGAAUCACUAUAUUAAAGAGAUAACUCCACUCUCAUGUUCAUUGCAGGAUUAUUCACAGUAGACAAGAUAUGAAAUAAAACUAAGUGUUCAUUAAAGAAUGAAUGGGUA